rnacentral:rRNA from 1 species
GUGAGGAAUUUUCCGCAAUGGGCGAAAGCCUGACGGAGCAAUGCCGCGUGAAGGAUGAAGGCCUAUGGGUUGUAAACUUCUUUUCUCAGAAAAGAAUUAUGACGGUAUCUGAGGAAUAAGCAUCGGCUAACUCUGUGCCAGCAGCCGCGGUAAGACAGAGGAUGCAAGCGUUAUCCGGAAUGAUUGGGCGUAAAGCGUCUGUAGGUUGUUUAAAAAGUAUUCUGUCAAAGAUUAGGGCUUAACCCUAGAUAGGCAGAAUAAACUUUUAAGCUAGAGUUUGGUAGAGGCAGAGGGAAUUCCCGGUGGAGCGGUAAAAUGCGUAGAUAUCGGGAGGAACACCAAAGGCGAAGGCACUCUGCUGGGCCAAUACUAACACUGAGAGACGAAAGCGAGGGGAGCAAAUGGGAUUAGAUACCCGUGUAGUCC